GGCUGUGUCAGGAUGCCCAAUUUGCAGUAGAAAUUUAAAAUUUACAUACAAGGAUGUUUUAUUGCUCGCCCAGUUUAUUUCUCCUGAAGGACAUAUUUUAAACAGGCGAGUAACAGGUGUGUGCAGAAAGCAGCAGAGAAAACUGGAAAAAUCAAUUGAAAUAUCAAGAAGAAUGGGUUUAAUUCCGAGAAAACCUCCUGCUCUAAUUCAGAAAGAAAAUCAAAUGGCAUAACAAUGUGCAAAAUCAAUAACAGAGUUGUACCAAUGAU